rnacentral:sRNA from 1 species
CAGCCCUUUGUCGCUAAGAUUCGA